GACGAACGCUGGCGGCGUGCUUAACACAUGCAAGUCGAACGGAAAGGCCCUGCUUUUGUGGGGUGCUCGAGUGGCGAACGGGUGAGUAACACGUGAGUAACCUGCCCUUGACUUUGGGAUAACUUCAGGAAACUGGGGCUAAUACCGGAUAGGAGCUCCUGCUGCAUGGUGGGGGUUGGAAAGUUUCGGCGGUUGGGGAUGGACUCGCGGCUUAUCAGCUUGUUGGUGGGGUAGUGGCUUACCAAGGCUUUGACGGGUAGCCGGCCUGAGAGGGUGACCGGCCACAUUGGGACUGAGAUACGGCCCAGACGCCUACGGGAGGCAGCAGUGGGGAAUAUUGCACAAUGGGCGGAAGCCUGAUGCAGCAACUCCGCGUGCGGGAUGACGGCCUUCGGGUUGUAAACCGCUUUCGCCUGUGACGAAGCGUGAGUGACGGUAAUGGGUAAAGAAGCACCGGCUAACUACGUG
rnacentral:rRNA from 1 species